rnacentral:lncRNA from 1 species
AAGGCGACCGGAAAUUACUAUAUUUUUUUGGGUCGGAUGUUGCGCCGGUUUUGGGUCGGAUGUUGCGCCGGUUUUGGGUCGGAUGUUGACAGACGCGCAACAUCCGACCCAUUUUUUUGAUGCUAAAAUGAACGGUUUAUGGAGUGAAAUCUUGCUACAAAUCGGCUUGAGGGUCGGAUGUUGCGCCUUGCUCCAAUAACCAGGGUUAGGAGCUGCGGCGCCAUCUCAGUUAGAUUUUGGUUUGGUUUCAAAGAAUACUGUUUUAAAACUGGUUAAGUAAUCCGGUUAA